UACGGGGGGGGCAAGCGUUGUUCGGAAUUACUGGGCGUAAAGGGCUCGUAGGUGGCCAACUAAGUCAUACGUGAAAUCCCUCGGCUUAACCGGGGAACUGCGUCUGAUACUGGAUGGCUUGAGGUUGGGAGAGGGAUGCGGAAUUCCAGGUGUAGCGGUGAAAUUCGUAGAUAUCGGGAGGAACACCAGUGGCGAAGGCGGCGACCUGGGCCAAUAUUGACGCUGAGGUGCGAAAGCGUGGGGAGCAAACAGG
rnacentral:rRNA from 1 species